CAUGACAUUGCAUCAAUUGCAUGUUCCUUUUGUGUCGGUCUUGUGGAGCAACUAACUAGGAAACAUGGAUAUAAAUGCAGAAUUUGGAAAUAAAAUGAUAUUGUAGGGAUAGUGGCAAUGCGCCAGUUAACGAUUAAGACACUGUGGCUACUGCUAGUAUAUGUAAAUAGAACUUAGAAGUUACAAGAAGUUCUUGCAUACAUGCAUAUACAUUCUAUUUGUCUUUGCCUUGAAAGGCUGCAAAGAAAUGCAAAAGAAAAAUUUCUUUCGAGCUUCCUUUGAUAUCAGGGUUGAAAAUCUCUAUAAAACAUUUAUUUGAAUGCUUUCGGAGUAUUCAUGCUCUGAGCUUAUCCAUCUUUAAAAUUUGUCGUCAUGCACCUUUGUGGGAUACUUCUGUGCAAGAUGGACCUUUAAAUGUGGUAAGGGUGUUGCUUUCAAGCUAGGGGUAGGCAGAACAAAGACUUGUUCCAAACUAGCAGGGUCAUAAGGGAUCUUAUUUUUUAAGAACUUGAAUGGAAAUAUGCCCUAAAUAGAAUGGAUUGGAGCAAAAUGAUUCACACAGCUGAUACUAGCUAAUUUGAUUUAAGGCUUAAUUGAGGUGAAUUAAGUUUUAAUUCAAUAUUUGGGACUAUGCUUGUUGGUGCUGUUUUGAUGUGUUUGUGGUCCUUUUAUAGAGGCCACAGGUACUGCCACUUGAGAUUUUGGCCAAAGAUGCCAUGAAUACUUCCAUGUUGAUUAUCAUGUUCAAGUCCUGUGAAGCACAAUUGUAAGCUGCUUCAGGUCAUCCUGAACCUCUGCUUUGAUGCUAACUUUAACCUAGGCCAAUCAUAUGGUACCUUGCAUUCUAACUAAUGAUUGACCCUAAUUUCUACCAUUCUCUGAAAAUAUCCAUUUGCCUGUCUUUGGUGUGCACUUGGAAUCUUAAUAAAAAGUGAUCCUUCAAAAGUUGAAAACUUCGUCUGACCUUUUCCUUAUUUGGGUAAAGAGUAAGAACUUCUACAGUGAGUCAGCAAAUAUCUGACAACUGGAAACAUUGGUGAUGUCCAUUUACCUUUUAUCAUUUGUGUCUGGCCUAGUACUAUACUUGCAUGGUAUGGCCCAGUGAAUGCGUAAAGAUUUGCUUACUCUGAUUAUUCAUGUUGGAGGACAUUGAAUCUCUAAAAGAUUCCUGGACAUAUAUAUCAAUUUUGGUCUCUGCUUGCCAUGUGAUCUUAGUUUCAGAAAUUGAGAGUGUGAUCCAUUGUUCUGAAACCUGAUUUAGGAGAAAAUAUUGUGUGACAAGGUGAUCUUUGCUCAUCUGAACAUAAAAUUAUGUUUGAAUGUUUGUUCAUUUUUUGCCCUUCUUCAACCUUUGAGUGCAGAACUAUUCUGGGGAAGAGG
rnacentral:misc_RNA from 1 species